rnacentral:rRNA from 1 species
AGCAUGGUCUUAGCUUGCUAAGGCCGAUGGCGACCGGCGCACGGGUGAGUAACACGUAUCCAACCUGCCGUCUACUCUUGGACAGCCUUCUGAAAGGAAGAUUAAUACAAGAUGGCAUCAUGAGUCCGCAUGUUCACAUGAUUAAAGGUAUUCCGGUAGACGAUGGGGAUGCGUUCCAUUAGAUAGUAGGCGGGGUAACGGCCCACCUAGUCUUCGAUGGAUAGGGGUUCUGAGAGGAAGGUCCCCCACAUUGGAACUGAGACACGGUCCAAACUCCUACGGGAGGCAGCAGUGAGGAAUAUUGGUCAAUGGGCGCAGGCCUGAACCAGCCAAGUAGCGUGAAGGAUGACUGCCCUAUGGGUUGUAAACUUCUUUUAUAAAGGAAUAAAGUCGGGUAUGGAUACCCGUUUGCAUGUACUUUAUGAAUAAGGAUCGGCUAACUCCGUGCCAGCAGCCGCGGUAAUACGGAGGAUCCGAGCGUUAUCCGGAUUUAUUGGGUUUAAAGGGAGCGUAGAUGGAUGUUUAAGUCAGUUGUGAAAGUUUGCGGCUCAACCGUAAAAUUGCAGUUGAUACUGGAUAUCUUGAGUGCAGUUGAGGCAGGCGGAAUUCGUGGUGUAGCGGUGAAAUGCUUAGAUAUCACGAAGAACUCCGAUUGCGAAGGCAGCCUGCUAAGCUGCAACUGACAUUGAGGCUCGAAAGUGUGGGUAUCAAACAGGAUUAGAUACCCUGGUAGUCCACACGGUAAACGAUGAAUACUCGCUGUUUGCGAUAUACAGCAAGCGGCCAAGCGAAAGCGUUAAGUAUUCCACCUGGGGAGUACGCCGGCAACGGUGAAACUCAAAGGAAUUGACGGGGGCCCGCACAAGCGGAGGAACAUGUGGUUUAAUUCGAUGAUACGCGAGGAACCUUACCCGGGCUUAAAUUGCAGAUGAAUUACGGUGAAAGCCGUAAGCCGCAAGGCAUCUGUGAAGGUGCUGCAUGGUUGUCGUCAGCUCGUGCCGUGAGGUGUCGGCUUAAGUGCCAUAACGAGCGCAACCCUUGUUGUCAGUUACUAACAGGUUCCGCUGAGGACUCUGACAAGACUGCCAUCGUAAGAUGUGAGGAAGGUGGGGAUGACGUCAAAUCAGCACGGCCCUUACGUCCGGGGCUACACACGUGUUACAAUGGGGGGUACAGAGGGCCGCUACCACGCGAGUGGAUGCCAAUCCCCAAAACCUCUCUCAGUUCGGACUGGAGUCUGCAACCCGACUCCACGAAGCUGGAUUCGCUAGUAAUCGCGCAUCAGCCACGGCGCGGUGAAUACGUUCCCGGGCCUUGUACACACCGCCCGUCAAGCCAUGGGAGCCGGGGGUACCUGAAGUGCGUAACCGCGAGGAGCGCCCUAGGGUAAAACUGGUGACUGGGGCUAAGUCGUAACAAGGUAGCCGUACCGGAAGGUGCGGCUG